rnacentral:tRNA from 1 species
GGCUCUGUGGUGCAAUGGAUAGCGCAUUGGACUUCUAAUUCAAAGGUUGUGGGUUCAAAUCCCACCAGAGUCG